CUCCAAGGAAGGACUAAUAUCUUCUCCUCAGUGUCCAAGGACUCCUGCGGCACUGCAGGCCUCGCAGUCAGAUGCAAACCGGUCACUCAGUUACAAAGUUGUUAGGGACAAAAGGCACCAGAUGCAAAGCUCCCACAAGGCAGAAGUAAUGUUUUCAAGAGGGUCACAAGCUCAGAUCAUCAGUAUGAGCCCCCAAAUAUUGCAGCCUGGCUUGAGUCUGUUGGACCCACCUGAACUAACAAGGAGGAACAAGUGGUGACCCUGGAGGUUCUGCAUGAGUGAGGAGGCAAUCMGUCAAAUAUACUUUGGCCAGGCUGGUGAAGAAGACAGAGCUGUCGUUUGUGUAUUUUUGUCAUGGCCCUGCAUGSCAUGGUAUAAUUCAUGAAAGAAGCUGUUACAGCACUAAACACCACCGUUCUCCCAUCUUUAGACGAAACAAUCCCUCUCUGAGCAUGAAUCCAAGGACACCUCGCUGCCUCAGAGCCCCAAAAUAUGGAAACAACAAUUAGCCUGAUUGAUAAGGCAUCAGUUCAGCUGGGGUCCUGCAUUUUAAGGGCACAUCAAGCCCACUAGACACCUCCUAGUUUCAAGAUCUGCAGCAGACCAGAAYUCUAUGCAGCAUUUGAAGAUACAAAUGAGCAAGAAGAUGGUACAGUGACAUUUUUCAAUCUUUGUGCCUUCCCUAGUUAUCCCUAAAAUGACAUUCAGUUGUUGAGCACAGACUUGCAAGAUCCCUGUGUUGGUGAAGUGCCUCUCAUAAGUGUUAAAUGUUAGUCUAUAAUUAAGGAGUCUGUAAUCCAUAGAUUAGUGGCUCUGUGCUCUAAAGUCUCCAUCUGUUGUACACAAUGAAAUCAUAACUCUAGUCUCAGUCUUGUUUCAGGCUUCUAAACUGGUUUUCACAGGAUUUUCUUUGUUGUGCAAAGCAACUUGUUCAUGGCUGUCACUUGCUGUCCAGGCACUGGAGCAGAUGUAGCACAGUGGCCUUUUGUCAGUGCCGCAUGGGCUAUGAGAUGUACUUCUAUCAAAGCAGGAAYAGGGUUUUGAAAUGUGUAUUUUGGUCAUGUUCAGACUCAGCCCCCUUCAACACAAAGCAGAUGGCACACUGCCAGUUAUUAGGGCUUUUACUAUGUUUAGACACUACCCAAGCAGUGGAAAACUGUUGCCACCAAAAUGGGCUGCAGAGACGACCCAAAGACCUUCCAAUGCAUAGCCAGASUUCUCUUCAGUCUAGCCACGAGCACUCACCGUGCCUGCUCUGGGACAGGGGCAGGGCUCAGUCCUUUGCUUGCCAAAGCCUGUUCAGUGAUAAAAUACUGGACAAAAUGGAGAUGCCAUGAAGCGCCACUGUGGACUGCUGACCCAGUCGUCGAAACGAAAUGAUUCUGUGAUUUAAAAUUCAUUUUACGCAGAGAAAUUGCAAAGAUUUGAUGGGGACAGAGGCGAUUGCAGAGUCUGAGCCUGUCAGGCCGAAGGUGCGGCGCAGAGCCCAUCAGUGAAACGGAAG